rnacentral:tRNA from 1 species
GGGGCUGUAGCUCAGCUGGGAGAGCGCCUGCUUUGCAAGCAGGAGGUCGUCGGUUCGAUCCCGAUCAGCUCCA